CACGCCGUAAACGAUGCAGGCUAGGCAUUGGAGGCUUUGAACCCUUAAGUGCCGAAGCUAACGCGUUAAGCCUGCCGCCUGGGGAGUACGGCCGCAAGGCUAAAACUCAAAGGAAUUGACGGGGACCCGCACAAGCGGUGGAACAUGUGGUUUAAUUCGUAGACAAGCGAGGAACCUUACCAGGACUUGACAUCUCCGGAACCUGCUAGAAAUAGCGGGGUGCCUUCGGGAGCCGGAUGACAGGUGC
rnacentral:rRNA from 1 species